UACGGAGGGUGCUAGCGUUGUUCGGAAUUACUGGGCGUAAAGGGCGCGUAGGCGGCCGUUUGCGUCGGAUGUGAAAGCCCGGGGCUCAACCCCGGGCGUGCAUUCGAUACUGCGCGGCUCGAGACAGGUAGGGGAGAUCGGAAUUCCUGGUGUAGCGGUGAAAUGCGCAGAUAUCAGGAGGAACACCGGUGGCGAAGGCGGAUCUCUGGGCCUGUUCUGACGCUGAGGCGCGAAAGCUAGGGGAGCGAACAGG
rnacentral:rRNA from 1 species